UGGGGAAUAUUGGACAAUGGGGGGAACCCUGAUCCAGCCAUGCCGCGUGUGUGAAGAAGGCCUUAUGGUUGUAAAGCACUUUAAGCGAGGAGGAGGGUACUGGUAUUAAUACUACCAGGUACUGGACGUUACUCGCAGAAUAAGCACCGGCUAACUCUGUGCCAGCAGCCGCGGUAAUACAGAGGGUGCGAGCGUUAAUCGGAUUUACUGGGCGUAAAGCGUGCGUAGGCGGCUAAUUGAGUCGGAUGUGAAAUCCCCGAGCUUAACUUGGGAAUUGCAUUCGAUACUGGUUAGCUAGAGUGUGGGAGAGGAUGGUAGAAUUCCAGGUGUAGCGGUGAAAUGCGUAGGAAUCUGGAGGAAUACCGAUGGCGAAGGCAGCCAUCUGGCCUAACACUGACGCUGAGGUACGAAAGCAUGCGGAGCAAACAGG
rnacentral:rRNA from 1 species